rnacentral:lncRNA from 1 species
AAAACAAGCCCUCCUUUCUCUGCUCUUUUCUACCCAACCGUUAAUACUGCUACCAGGUCUGUUUCAAGCUUUUGCGUAUAUAAGGGUACAUACAUAAAGAUAUAACUUUGGUGUGUGUUUUCUCUUUUACAUAAGUACGAUCAAAUUGUCCAUAUUGUUUUGCAUAUCCUGAUCUUAUUCAUUCUUUUUAUGUAUGUGUCCAGUCUACCUCAUGCCCUGACUCACAGUUUAGCUAUGACUAAGCAUGUUCAGAACAUUUGUUGAGCUCUUAAGAAGGGUGGUCAUGGAGUAUAGGUCUGCUAUGAAUUGUCUGGCAGUCAUUUAAUAUUGUAUUAUAUUUUAGGUCUGUCAACCUGAAAUAAACAGCAGAGAGACCAGUUCUCCAAAACAAAGAGUUUAUUUGAGAAUAACAGGGAAUUGCGAUUUUGGGUGCACAUGCUGUGGUGGACCACAGGUGCACCAAAGGGGAUGGGGCAAGAGGAAGCUUUUAAGAGAAAGGACGUGAGCCACUGCACCCGGCCCACACUGCCUUUUCUUGAGUGUGUACUUUUUGUCUUGCAAUAACUCUCCAAACUUUCACUAUUUUCUGAUUUGUCAUUGAAUUCCUUCCCGCAGUGGCGUCAAAAGCCUGGACACCAGCCGGGGCCGAGGUCCUGCAGGUAUUUGGGGAACUCCCCUAGCCCACUGAUAUCUGCAUCAUUAGUAUUCUUACUAUUCUCACCUCUCAGAGAUCACAGUAGGUGAAGCUCUUCCCAUACUUUCUGUCACUGUGUACCCCAGAAGCCGAGGGGGUAGGUUCUGUUAACACAUCCAUUUUGCAGGUGAAGAAUCAGAGGCUCAGACAGGUUGAGGAACUUUGCCACGGUCACUCAGCCAAUGGGUGGGAGAGCAAGGUCCCGUCCAAAGCAUUUUCCAAGGUUUGGCUAGAAUCAGUGGUGGAACCACAGCUAAUUUCAGCUGUUUCACACAAACACAUUAGGUAACUAAACCACCUAGUGAGAUAGUUAUUCUAUUUUCAAUUAUUUUCCCUUCCUUUUGAUUAAAUCAAGGAAAUUUUCCAGUUGUUUCUAAUAUGCCAGUAAAAGUUCUCUAAUGCAAUUCCAAUCUCCCUUUCUAACAAAGACAGAACAGGCAACCGUAUCUAGCCAGAACUUAAUCGCGUUGUUUUGUUUUCCUUGUAUUUAUUUUUAUGGAAAUGAAGUUGAUUUUCUAUUGAUGUAGCAAUAGAAAUUUUCUUUAAAAAU